GAGUUUGAUCCUGGCUCAGAUUGAACGCUGGCGGCAGGCCUAACACAUGCAAGUCGAGCGGAUGAAGGGAGCUUGCUCCUGGAUUCAGCGGCGGACGGGUGAGUAAUGCCUAGGAAUCUGCCUGGGUAGUGGGGGAUAACGUCCGGAAACGGGCGCUAAUACCGCAUACGUCCUGAGGGAGAAAGUGGGGGAUCUUCGGACCUCACGCUAUCAGAUGAGCCUAGGUCGGAUUAGCUAGUUGGUGGGGUAAAGGCCUACCAAGGCGACGAUCCGUAACUGGUCUGAGAGGAUGAUCAGUCACACUGGAACUGAGACACGGUCCAGACUCCUACGAGAGGCAGCAGUGGGGAAUAUUGGACAAUGGGCGAAAGCCUGAUCCAGCCAUGCCGCGUGUGUGAAGAAGGUCUUCGGAUUGUAAAGCACUUUAAGUUGGGAGGAAGGGCAGUAAGUUAAUACCUUGCUGUUUGACGUUACCAACAGAAUAAGCACCGGCUAACUUCGUGCCAGCCGCCGCGGU
rnacentral:rRNA from 1 species